GAUGAGACAUCAGACACCAGAUGUAUUUUUGGUUUCUUGCAUUUGCUUAGGACAGAUUUCGGGAUUUUAGCCUCUAUCAGUUGGAUUGUUCACGCACAUAGUCACUCUUUCAUGUAUCUAUUUCUACAUGGGUGGAUCUUAAUCUCAAAUAUCCCCAGCUCUGGAAAACCUGACCUUCUUCAUCUCCCGUUCAGAGCUAUCUUUCUUUGAAGUGUCAGAUUUGAAGCUGGAUGAUCAGGAGGCAGACAAAACAUCGCUGGUUCCUGAGAGGGACCAGGAUGGAAUGUGGGAAUCAAGAACAGAGAAGAAACUCAGGAAAACUCGCCACCAUGGCCGGAAAAAGGUAAUCUCGCACCAUAAAAAGAGGAGACAGUUUCUCAAAAUGUUGUAUGAAACAAUGGAAGAAGUGAAGAGCUGUGAAGAACUUGUUUCAAAUAUGCUACAUGCUCUGAAAUGACCACUGCUUGUAUAUCAGCCACUGGAAAUAUUCGUGGUUUUUCUUUCCUUGACUCACGAUUUGGGAGAGUGCAACACUGUGAAUACGUGUUACUUUUGUCUACCUAGACUUGGGCUUACUUGUCACC